rnacentral:rRNA from 1 species
ACGAACGCUGGCGGCGCGCUUAACACAUGCAAGUCGAGCGAUGAAAUUUCGACAGAUCCCUUUGGGGUGAAGCUGAAAUGGAUUAGCGGCGGACGGGUGAGUAACACGUGAGUAACCUGCCUUUGACAUUGGGAUAGCCUCGGGAAACUGGGAUUAAUACCAAAUGACACUAACUGAUCACAUGAUCAAUUAGUCAAAGAAAUUCGGUCAAAGAUGGACUCGCGGCUGAUUAGCUAGUUGGUGAGGUAACGGCCCACCAAGGCGACGAUCAGUAGCUGGCCUGAGAGGGUGAUCGGCCACAUUGGAACUGAGACACGGUCCAAACUCCUACGGGAGGCAGCAGUGGGGAAUAUUGCACAAUGGGGGAAACCCUGAUGCAGCGACGCCGCGUGAGCGAAGAAGGCCUUCGGGUCGUAAAGCUCUUUUAUGAGGGAAGAUAAUGACGGUACCUCAAGAAAAAGCCCCGGCUAACUACGUG